GACGAACGCUGGCGGCGUGCCUAAUACAUGCAAGUAGAACGCACAGUUUAUACCGUAGCUUGCUACACCAUAGACUGUGAGUUGCGAACGGGUGAGUAACGCGUAGGUAACCUGCCUGGUAGCGGGGGAUAACUAUUGGAAACGAUAGCUAAUACCGCAUAAUAUUGAUUAUUGCAUGAUAAUUAAUUGAAAGGUGCAAUUGCACCACUACCAGAUGGACCUGCGUUGUAUUAGCUAGUAGGUGAGGUAACGGCUCACCUAGGCGACGAUACAUAGCCGACCUGGGAGGGUGAGCAGCCACCCUGGGACUGAGACACGGCCCAGACGCCCUCGGGAGGCAGCAGGAGGGAAUCUUCGGCAAUGGGCGAAAGUCUGACCGAGCAACGCCGCGGGAGUGAAGAAGGUUUUCGGGUCGUAAAGCUCUGUUGUAAGGGAAGAACGGGCGUGAGAGUGGAAAGUUCACACUGUGACGGUAUCUUACCAGAAAGGGACGGCUAACUACGUG
rnacentral:rRNA from 1 species